rnacentral:rRNA from 1 species
GUGCUUAACACAUGCAAGUCGAACGAUGAAGCGGUGCUUGCACCGUGGAUUAGUGGCGAACGGGUGAGUAAUACGUGAGUGACCUACCUUUGACUCUGGGAUAAGCCUGGGAAACUGGGUCUAAUACCGGAUACGACCAAUCUCUGCAUGGGGUGUUGGUGGAAAGCGUUAUGGAGUGGUUUUAGAUGGGCUCACGGCCUAUCAGCUUGUUGGUGAGGUAAUGGCUUACCAAGGCGACGACGGGUAGCCGGCCUGAGAGGGUGACCGGCCACACUGGGACUGAGACACGGCCCAGACUCCUACGGGAGGCAGCAGUGGGGAAUAUUGCACAAUGGGCGCAAGCCUGAUGCAGCGACGCCGCGUGAGGGAUGACGGCCUUCGGGUUGUAAACCUCUGUUAGCAUCGAAGAAGCGAAAGUGACGGUAGGUGCAGAGAAAGCGCCGGCUAACUACGUGCCAGCAGCCGCGGUAAUACGUAGGGCGCGAGCGUUGUCCGGAAUUAUUGGGCGUAAAGAGCUUGUAGGCGGUUGGUCGCGUCUGCUGUGAAAGGCCGGGGCUUAACUCCGGUUUUGCAGUGGGUACGGGCUAACUAGAGUGCAGUAGGGGAGACUGGAAUUCCUGGUGUAGCGGUGGAAUGCACAGAUAUCAGGAGGAACACCGAUGGCGAAGGCAGGUCUCUGGGCUGUAACUGACGCUGAGAAGCGAAAGCAUGGGGAGCGAACAGGAUUAGAUACC